GUUCAUUAUUAUGCUUUAUUGAGGGUUGUUACUUAAUCAUAGAGUCAUACAUCCACUAUUUUAUCGCAAUCUCACAUAAAUCAGACCUUGGACAUGUAGUGCAGCUAUUAAUCGAAGCUAUCGAUAUGUUUCUAUUGGGGACUGCUAUGCUUACAUUUGGAAUGGGAUUGUAUGUCAUGUUUGUGGGAUCAAGAAAUAUUAAUGUUAAAGGAGAUGAUGAUGAUCAAUUGUCAGGCAAAAAGUUGUAUUAUU
rnacentral:misc_RNA from 1 species